CUCAGCUGUUUUAGUUGACGACUGGAGGAGAAGAGGCAGAGGUCUCAGCUGUUUUAGUUGACGACUGGAGGAGAAGAGGCAGAGGUCUCAGCUGUUUUAGUUGACGACUGGAGGAGAAGAGGUCUCAGCUGUUUUAGUUGACGACUGGAGGAGAAGAGGUCUCAGCUGUUUUAGUUGACGACUGGAGGAGAAGAGGUCUCAGCUGUUUUAGUUGACGACUGGAGGAGAAGAGGUCUCAGCUGUUUUAGUUGACGACUGGAGGAGAAGAGGUCUCAGCUGUUUUAGUUGACGACUGGAGGAGAAGAGGUCUCAGCUGUUUUAGUUGACGACUGGAGGAGAAGAGGUCUCAGCUGUUUUAGUUGACGACUGGAGGAGAAGAGGUCUCAGCUGUUUUAGUUGACGACUGGAGGAGAAGAGGUCUCAGCUGUUUUAGUUGACGACUGGAGGAGAAGAGGUCUCAGCUGUUUUAGUUGACGACUGGAGGAGAAGAGGUCUCAGCUGUUUUAGUUGACGACUGGAGGAGAAGAGGUCUCAGCUGUUUUAGUUGAUGACUGGAGGAG